rnacentral:tRNA from 1 species
GCUUUUAUGGUGUAUAUAGCAUUAGAAAUUUUCAAUUUCUAGGAGUAAAUUGUGUUAAUAAGGUUAUUAAAAGUG